rnacentral:misc_RNA from 1 species
CAUGUCAUGUCAUGAGUCCAUGGCAUGGCAUGGC